rnacentral:sRNA from 1 species
CCUCUUCGAUCUGCUGGGGGCAGAUGAAGUGGAUGUGGCUGUCGAAGCCGCCGGCGGUCAGGAUGCGACCCUCGGCGGCAAUCGCCUCGGUGCCGGGGCCGAUGAUGAUGUCCACGUUCGACUGGGUGUCGGGGUUGCCGGCCUUGCCUAUGGCGGCGAUCCGGCCGUCCUUCAGGCCCACAUCGGCCUUGUAGAUGCCCGUAUGGUCCACGAUCAGCGCGUUGGUGAUGACGGUAUCGACGGCGCCCUCGGCGCGGCUGGCCUGCGACUGGCCCAUGCCGUCGCGG